UACGUAGGGUGCAAGCGUUGUCCGGAAUUAUUGGGCGUAAAGAGCUCGUAGGCGGCUAGUCGCGUCGGCUGUGAAAACCUGGGGCUCAACCCCGGGCCUGCAGACGAUACGGGCUAGCUAGAAUUCGGUAGGGGAGACUGGAAUUCCUGGUGUAGCGGUGAAAUGCGCAGAUAUCAGGAGGAACACCAAUGGCGAAGGCAGCUCGCUGGGACGGUACUGACGCUGAGACGCGAAAGCGUGGGGAGCAAACAGG
rnacentral:rRNA from 1 species